AUUGAACGCUGGCGGCAGGCCUAACACAUGCAAGUCGAGCGAGCGGCGGACGGGUGAGUAAUGUAUGGGGAUCUGCCCGAUGGAGGGGGAUAACUACUGGAAACGGUAGCUAAUACCGCAUACCAUCAGAUGAGCCCAUAUGGGAUUAGCUAGUAGGUAGGGUAAAGGCUUACCUAGGCGACGAUCCCUAGCUGGUCUGAGAGGAUGAUCAGCCACACUGGGACUGAGACACGGCCCAGACUCCUACGGGAGGCAGCAGUGGGGAAUAUUGCACAAUGGGCGCAAGCCUGAUGCAGCCAUGCCGCGUGUAUGAAGAAGGCCUUAGGGUUGUAAAGUACUUUCAGUCGGGAGGCGUUACCGACAGAAGAAGCACCGGCUAACUCCGUGCCAGCAGCCGCGGUAAUAC
rnacentral:rRNA from 1 species